GCCUGGUUCAAUUCCCAGUACUGCUCAUAAACAAGUACAUGUCCAGGAAACAAUCCAGCAGCCUGCUACUGUCUGGAAAGAAUGUCUGGACCUUAAGGGAAGACGGACGCACUGUUGAAGCUCUGCCAAUGUCUUUACUAUAACAAAUUUAGCAGACAUAGACAAGGAGCAGCCACAUGAAUGGUGUGGUUCUACAGAGCUACUUGGUGAAGCAGUGUCACUACCCACUUUCUGCUCACAAGACGAAGACCGAAACCCAUGUUCUUGGGCUUUGUACAAGUUGAAUGUCAAGGACUAUUGAGCCCUCUCCUUGCUUUGCUAACUUGUAUCAUAAUAACUAGCCUCUCAACAAGUACCAUGCUUUGCCUCUAUAGCAUGGUCCAGUGGCAACUACAAACAAUCAUGAAGCAGCUGCCCUAUUUUCUCUAGAGUUGAUAAUAUUGCUAACAGCUGAUUGAGCAUCUGCUCAAUGUUAAGCACUAUGGCCAUGUGCUGUAGGUAUGUUAUGUAAAUUUAGGUGUGUUAUGUGAAUUCUUAUCACAGAUAAUGUUUUACCCAAUUUUUCAGAUGAGAAAAUAGUGGCUCAGAGAGGUUUAGUUUACAUCAAAUAACUAACAAUAGAACCCUGCUUUCACAGAACAUCCAAUUCUACCACGGUGAGGGAAGUGGAACUCUUUCUUGUUAGGUCACACCAGUUGACAAACUUUGCCUCCAUACGUAGAACAUUAAUUCAGCACCUUAGUGCCAGUCCCUAGAUAGCAGGUAGUUAGGGUUUGGAUGUGGUUUGUCCUCUGCAGGUUCAUGUGCUGAAAGUGGUCCCUAGGGUGGUAGUGUUGAGGUGGAGAAUCUUUAAGUGGGGCAUAGGGAUCACUGGGGCUCCACCCUCAUGAAUGGAUUAGUGGUGUCUCUUAGAAGCGAAUCAGGUCUGCUAGGAGUAGAUUAGUUAAACAGUAGUUUUUAUAAAACUCAAUGGUCUCUUGUUACCUGGGCUUCCAUGUUAUUUCUCUUUCCGUCCCACCUGAUGUGCUGCCACCUUGAUACCAUCCUUCAAGAGGUCCUC
rnacentral:lncRNA from 1 species